GUGCUCACUUCAGCAGCACAUAUACUAAAAUUGGAACAAUACAGAGAAGAUUAACAUGGCCCCUGUGCAAGGAUGACAUGCAAAUUUGUGAGGCGUUCCGCAUUUUU
rnacentral:snRNA from 1 species